AUAAUGCAGUGUGUGUGUAUAUAAUGCAGUGUGUUUGUGUAGUGUGUUUAUAUAAUGCACACUACACAAACACACUGCAUUAUAUACACACACACUAUACAA